CCUACGGGUGGCAGCAGUAGGGAAUAUUGCUCAAUGGGGGAAACCCUGAAGCAGCAACGCCGCGUGGAGGAUGAAGGUUUUCGGAUUGUAAACCCCUUUUGUCAGAGAAGAUAAUGACGGUACCUAGCGAAGAAGCACCGGCUAACUCCGUGCCAGCAGCCGCGGUAAUACGGAGGGUGCAAGCGUUACUCGGAUUCACUGGGCGUAAAGAGCGCGUAGGCGGGAUAGCAAGUCAGAUGUGAAAUCCUAUGGCUUAACCAUAGAACUGCAUUUGAAACUGUUAUUCUAGAGUGUGGGAGAGGUAAGUGGAAUUCUUGGUGUAGGGGUGAAAUGCGUAGAGAUCAAGAGGAACACUCAUGGCGAAGGCGACCUGCUGGAACGUAACUGACGCUGAUGCGCGAAAGCGUGGGGAGCAAACAGGAUUAGAUACCCUAGUAGUC
rnacentral:rRNA from 1 species